UUGCAUUGCGGAGGAGGACGAGGUGCGCUGAGGCUACCACGUUCUGCUCACUGUGAACCACCCUAGUCUAUAUUUUUCCCAAUUUUCCUCCUUUUCCCGAUAAGGGCGAGGCUUGGCGGACUGGGAGAAGAGUCAGCAGCCAUUACAGCACCCUGAAACCAACAAACAAACACACAAACUAUAAAGAACAGCUGAGAUUAGUGAGCCGAGUGAGCUGAAGUGAGACGAGCCCAAAGGAACUCUAACCAGCAGUGAGAUUAGGGCACCAAAGACACUGCAACACCACUAAUCUCACUUGCCACCACCACUGCUUGAGAUUAGUGAGGUGGUGAGACGAGAAUUGUGAGAUUGGUGGUGUGGGAUGCCUGAGAUCACCACCACCACUGCUACCACCACCAUCACCACCGCCACCACCAGCUCUGUCUAAUCUCGUUUUAUAAAGCGACUAUAGUACCAAUCAAAGCAACAACAACCUCCUCAUCCCAUCAUGCCAUCUUGUGCACUGUGAGGUGAACUGCCACCCUGAGACGCGUGGCGACGAGCUACCUUGGUCUGAAACCAUCCUGCCACUUCUCACUUGUCACUUGCCACCUGCCACUUGCCACAUGCAAUAAAAUUGCCUGCGCCACUAAUGGGCGGAAGCUGAACAGCGCUUCCCAUACACUCUUCAAGUGUGC